rnacentral:lncRNA from 1 species
GGACUGGGAGAGCCUGUUGUUAGCCAAUCAUGGCCGUUUGUGCUUGGCACAAUGGUUGUGAUUGAGCAGGCCUACCAUAGUACAUGGUGAUACACCAUGUGGAUGCUGCUCGAUCAUGAUUAUUGCACCAAACAUUAAUGGCCUGAUUGGCUAACAAGCCUUUUCAGUCUCAGAAUUGGACCGGAAAGGAGCCAGACUCAUGAA